UACGUAGGGGGCAAGCGUUGUCCGGAUUUACUGGGCGUAAAGAGCGCGUAGGCGGCCAUGUAGGUCCGGUGUGAAAACUCGAGGCUCAACCUCGAGACGCCGAUGUAAACCAUAUGGCUAGAGUCCGGAAGAGGAGAGUGGAAUUCCUGGUGUAGCGGUGAAAUGCGCAGAUAUCAGGAAGAACACCGGUGGCUAAGGCGGCUCUCUAGUACGGUACUGACGCUGAGACACGAAAGCGUGGGUAGCGAACAGG
rnacentral:rRNA from 1 species